CAGCCGCCGCGGUAAUGCGUAGGGUGCAAGCGUUAAUCGGAAUUACUGGGCGUAAAGCGUGCGCAGGCGGUUCUAUAAGACAGAUGUGAAAUCCCCGGGCUCAACCUGGGAACUGCGUUUGUGACUGUAGAGCUGGAGUGCGGCAGAGGGGGAUGGAAUUCCGCGUGUAGCAGUGAAAUGCGUAGAUAUGCGGAGGAACACCGACGGCGAAGGCAAUCCCCUGGGCCUGCACUGACGCUCAUGCACGAAAGCGUGGGGAGCAAACAGGAUUAGAUACCCGCGUAGUCCCUGUCUCUUAUAC
rnacentral:rRNA from 1 species